rnacentral:tRNA from 1 species
GGGGCUGUAGCUUAGCGGUUUAAAGCGCUUCCCUGUCACGGAAGAGAUCAGGGGUUCAAAUCCCCUCAGCCUCG